GAAAACGGAUAUGGCGUAGAGAGAGGACGCUUAAGUUUUGAACCAUUUUGAGCGGUGCAAUCAGUGCUCACUGUAAGUCGCCUUUUAUUCCUUUUCCGACAUUUUCAUCAACAAUGUGCCUCGUUUAACGUGCCGUUGGUUUGAUCUCGGAAGUCUGUAACAAAAAACAACGCCCAGCGAGUGUUUUACCGGUCUGCUUUAGCUCGUUUGCUAAUAUAUCAGUCCUUCAAGCAUGUAGGUUAGCUAGCUAACGUUAGUUUGUAAACACUGCUCGUUAUAGUUACGAAGUGGUUAGUCGUCAUGCUAACAUUACGUGACACGACGUUACCAUAAGUUCAUAUUUAAGUAGACCUCUACUCUAAUAUAAUCGCCUUUUGUAGCUAGCUAACAUAAACGACGAAGCCAAUAGUAACUUGACGUUAUUUCUUAUUAACUUAACUGUCACCAUGAGCAAACACGAGGACUCAUGGGAUAGGCUGGACACUGAGUUUGACCGUCUUCUACUGGACAUGAAGCCGUAUGUUCUUCGACACCCCAACAAGACAGAGCGCCAGCGAUGUGCCAUAUGGAUAAAGAAGCUGUGUGACCCGGCCACAUGUGGUUCAGGUCUGAUAGGCCAUAAGAACCGCAACAUGUAUGCCCGUUUGCUCCUUCACAUGCUCAAAAGAGGGUUCCUGGAGUUGCCUUUCACCAGCAAACCAGAGCCUGGCAGCCUCAAGACACUCCCUACCUACAUGUCUAUCUAUUUUGAUGAGCCACUGGCUGGUCGGUCUGUGGAGCACAGCAAUGCGGGUCUGCCUGACUGGGUGACAGGAGAGCUGGGAGGCUACACUGAUGACAGUUUGGCUUUUGGUCUGAUUAAAGACAGAACUAGUUCCACACCUGUCGCAGCUAAUCACAGGAGAAGGCUGUAUGAGGAAAAGAUCCCGCCACCACCCAUGUCCUCCAGUUCACUCAAACAGUCACCCAGACAUGAUGCCAGGACGGUGAGUGGGGGGCUGAAGGCAGAUGUGUCUCCCGAUGACAGUGACCUGGACGCCCGUCUCAACAGCUGGAACCUGGGGAUUGAAAACCCCCGGUAUUUGAGAGAGAAGCCCGUUCCCUUGUCUCCAAUUUUCAAGUCAAGCUUUGGGAGGAACAGCACCUUGGCCAAUGAUCAGGGCCCACAGCUUGUACAAAGCAAGGAGACUGAGAUGAAGAUCAAACUUAUGGAGGCCAAACAUCAGGAGGAGAAACUGAAGAUGCAGCAGAGACAUGAUGCAGAUGUGGAGAAAAUUCUGGACCGAAAGAAUGGUGAGAUUGAGGAGAUGAAGAGUGCGUACCGGGCCAAGCAGAAGGAAUCGGAGGAGAUGAUCCGUAAGCUGGAGAAGAAAGUUCAAAGUGUGCUGCGGGAAUCCCAGGUCAUUUGCGAGAGCAAGGAGAAGCAGGUUGCUGAGCUGAAGAAGAUGUCGGAUCAGAGCGCCGACUCCCUGAAAAACGAGUGGGAGAAGAAGCUGCAUGCUGCUGUGACAGAGAUGGAGCAGGAGAAGUUUGAACUGCAGAAGAAACACACUGAGAACAUCCAGGCACUGCUGGAGGACACCAACCUCCGUCUGGCUAAGAUGGAGGCAGAGUAUAAUACUCGGUCACAAGCAACUGAGCAAACGGUGCGUGAGCUGGAGCUGCGGGUGAAACAGCAGUCGGCGGAGGUGGAGAAGGGCAACGCGCUGCGUCACAAGGUGACACAGGAGAAGGCCCAGUUGGAGAUCCACAUUGCAUCCAUCAGCGCCGAACUGCAGGAGGCCAACAGACGAAAUGGGAUUCUGCAGAGGGAGAAGGAGCAGCAGCAUGAGCAGCAUGAGCAGACUGUGCAUAAGCUGCAAGCCAAACAUGAGACUGACAUGAGCCACUUACAUCAGGAGCAUGCUCUGUCUGCUGCUAAGGCCUCUGAGUUGAUGGAGGACUUAGAGAAAACUAUAGCUCACCUCAAACAGCAGCUCCUGGACAGUGAACAUCAAAGACACCAGAAAGUCAGGGAUCAAGGGAUAAAGUUUCAGCAGGAAAAAGAUGAACUGCAGAUCAACUGUGAGAAAAAGGUUUUAGCAAUCCACAGUGAAGCAGAGAAAGAGAGGACAGAGGCCAAGAGGAAGAUAGCCAAACUAGAAGAUGCACUCAGGGAGAUGGAGAGCCAGCUGGACAGAGCCAGGGAGAGUCAAAGGCAGCAGAUCCAGCAGGCAGAUAUGGCAUUGGAGCAGUUCAAGAAACAGGUGGAGCUCAGCUCUGAGAAGACCUACGCUGACAUGAAAGUCCAGAUGGAGAAGGUAGAGGAGGACCUGAUCCGGUCCAAGACGCUCAGGGAGAACCAGGUCAAAGAGUUCUCUCAGCAACUUGAUUCACUCAGACAGAAAUAUGAGCAACAGAUGGCUGAGCAGCGCAUGCAGCACGAGCAGGAGAGGACGCGGCUACAGCAGCAGCACAGCGCGGAAAAGGACAGCCUGGUCCAGGAGCGCCAGCAGGAGGUGAGCAGCCUGGAGAGGCAGGCCAGGGCCGCCCUGCAACAGCACCAACAGCACACCCAGGAGUGGAGGAAGCGCGAUGCCCAGACGAUUUCAGAUUUGGAAGCCGAGUUGUCAAGUCUACAUGAGGAACUUCAGGCUGUCCACGCACAGCAUAAACAACAGUUGGCUGAGAUGGCAUUACUCCGGGAGGAGGAAAAGCAAAGGGCGUUCCUGGACAAAGAGUCCUCCCUGGACCGGCUUCGCUCUGACAUGGAGCGCCUACGCAGCGACCUCGAGAGAAGCCACCAGCACGAGAAGGACGCUGCUCAAGAGAAGACCAACAGCAGGUUGAAGCAGAUUGAGAAGGAGUACAGUCAGAAGCUUGCCAAGUCUGCCCAGUUAAUUGCGGAGCUACAGACAUCUGUAUGUGACUCAAAAGAGGAGGUUGUUCGUCUGCAGCAAACAAUGGAGAAGCAGUUGGAGGAGACCAAUGCUCGAUGGGAUGCAGAGAGGAGGACAAUAACUCACCACGCCGAUCAGGCCAACAAGGCUCUGCAGGAAAAGGUGGAAAGUCUACAGAGGCACUUGCACUGCUCAGAGAAGAAGCUGCUAAGCAAAGAGCUGGAGACGAAAGAGAAGAAUGUUUUGCAACGUCAAACUUGGCAGCAGAGACACAAACAGGAAGUGUGCCAUAGUCGAAUAAAAGAACCAAGGAAUUUCAGCACAUCAGCCAACUCGGAGCUAAAACUGAUGCCUCAACAGAUAGAGACAGCUGAGGCAGGAUGUGGAGCGAUCUCAUCUGAAGCACACAGUUAUGGUGACUGUGGUGCGUCAGGAGUACGAGGAGAAGAUCAAAGGUUUGAUGCCAGCAGAGCUCCGACAAGAAUUGGAAGACACCAUCACCUCUCUGAAAGCUCAGGUUAACUUCCUUCAGAAGAGAGCCUCUUUGCUACAGGAAGACCUGGAUGCCUGCCGCAGCAGGAGGUAACCAUGGGAGGGCCACAUGUAGACCCUACGCAAGCAAAUGAAGGAUGAGACGUCCAAUCAGAUGUGAGCAUUAUUGACUGUUACAAGUAUCACACACAUGUCACAUCACUGGACCAGUCAUAUUUUAGUUUGAUGUUGUCUCUCAUGGUUUUAUUAACAUAUGAACUAUUUAUUCAUUGUCUGAUUUUAGUUCUGCUUUGUCUUAUUGGGAAAUAUAUAUUUAUGUUCACAACUGGUUACAUCGUUCAAUUUUCAGUUUUUGAUAUCAUUAACUUGAUGUUAUUGAUAUUUAAUAGACAUUUUAUAUCAAUUGCCAUAUCCUUACCAAAAUCCAUCCUUCUUAAUAAAAGACUUU